rnacentral:rRNA from 1 species
UACGGGGGGGUAAGCGUUGUUCGGAAUUACUGGGCGUAAAGGGCUCGUAGGCGGCCAACUAAGUCGGACGUGAAAUCCCUCAGCUUAACUGGGACUGCGUCCGAUACUGGAUGGCUUGGAUUUGGGAGAGGGAUGCGGAAUUCCAGGUGUAGCGGUGAAAUGCGUAGAUAUCUGGAGGAACACCGGUGGCGAAGGCGGCAUCCUGGACCAACAUUGACGCUGAGGAGCGAAAGCUAGGGGAGCAAACGGG